rnacentral:rRNA from 1 species
GACGAACGCUGGCGGCGUGCCUAACACAUGCAAGUCGAGCGGAGAAAAUUAAAAGCUUGCUUUUGGUUUUCUUAGCGGCGGACGGGUGAGUAACGCGUGGGCAACCUGCCUAUCACAGGGGGAUAACACAGGGAAACUUGUGCUAAUACCGCAUAACACAUCGAGGUAGCAUUACCUUGCUGUCAAAGGAGCAAUCCGGUGAUAGAUGGGCCCGCGUCCAAUUAGCUAGUUGGUGAUGUAACGGACCACCAAGGCGACGAUUGGUAGCCGAACUGAGAGGUUGAUCGGCCACAUUGGGACUGAGACACGGCCCAGACUCCUACGGGAGGCAGCAGUGGGGAAUAUUGCACAAUGGGGGAAACCCUGAUGCAGCAACGCCGCGUGAAGGAUGAAGGUUUUCGGAUUGUAAACUUCUUUAGUCAGGGACGAAUAAAUGACGGUACCUGAAGAAUAAGCCACGGCUAACUACGUGCCAGCCGCCGCCGUAAGAC